AGGGGAAUAUUGCACAAUGGGGGAAACCCUGAUGCAGCGACGCCGCGUGAGCGAAGAAGGCUUUCGAGUCGUAAAGCUCUGUCCUAUGAGAAGAUAAUGACGGUAUCAUAGGAGGAAGCCCUGGCUAAAUACGUGCCAGCAGCCGCGGUAAUACGUAUGGGGCGAGCGUUGUCCGGAAUUAUUGGGCGUAAAGGGUACGUAGGUGGUUUUUUAAGUCAGGUGUCAAAGCGUGGAGCUUAACUCCAUUAAGCACUUGAAACUGAAAGACUUGAGUGAAGGAGAGGAAAGUGGAAUUCCUAGUGUAGCGGUGAAAUGCGUAGAUAUUAGGAGGAAUACCGGUGGCGAAGGCGACUUUCUGGACUUUUACUGACGCUCAGGUACGAAAGCGUGGGGAGCAAACAGG
rnacentral:rRNA from 1 species